rnacentral:misc_RNA from 1 species
GUUGUUGUCGGGUUCUUGUAUAUAUACUUAACUAGCUGUGCCCGCGGCUUCGCCCGCGUUGAAAAUAGUAUGUCACAAAGUUUUCCCGGCAAACUUCCAGUGAAACUCUCAUUAAAAUCGGCUCAGCCGUUCCGCAAACCUUCCUCUUGCCAAUCAUGGAGCCCUCUCUCCAAUGGUGAAACCGCAUGAAGUUGACGUUCAGUAGAUUUUGAGCGAAUCGAUCACAUACACUUUUGGGGACUUGGUUUUAUAAUACACUAACUGUUGCCCGCGACUAUGUUCGCGUGGUUAUUAAGAUAUGUAUGCAUUAUAAAAUAUUUAUUUAAUUAUUUCUGAUAGUAAGUAAAUUUAUUUUUCACUUUUUAGUUUCCUGUUUGAAGUCGGGUUUUUUUGUUAAGAUAUUUAACGCAAAUUGUUUUUUUUAUUUCAGUCAAUCGUUCAAGUUGAAAUCAAUCAGUUGAAAUGCUUAUCAAACUGAGUAACUUUUUAAAAGGCACAAUUUAGUAUAAUUUAAUAGUUAUUUUUAUAAAACCUCUCUAUACACCACAUUUUUAGUUUUAUUUUCAGGCUGUAUAUGUUUUAUACAAACUAUCAACCCCAAUUAAAUCCCCUUAGCGGUGGAAUAUCGUAAAAUCCGUUCUUAGCGGACGUCUGCUAACUAUAAUCUACCUCCCUGCCAAAUUUUAUCUUUGUGCAACCUGGAUAGAUAGACCAUCUAGUAGUUUUUGAGUUCUCGUAAUGAGUGAGUUAGUGACCUUUCUCUUUUAUAUAUAUAGAUUACGAUGCAUUAUUUGGACACCUCCUCACCAUCAAUAGAGCGUCAUCAUCUUCUUGCCCUUAUCCCACUUAUGUAGCGUCGGCACAACAUGUUUUCCUCUUCCAUUCCUCUCUAUUAUUCGUCACUUCACUGCUUACUCCUUUCUUUCUCAUAUCCUCACUCACACAAUCCAUCCAUCGCUUUUUCGGUCUGCCGAUCGCUCUUCGUCCUUCGACAUUCAUCCCUAACAUUCUUUUAUCGACAUAGCGGUCAUCCCUCCUCAUUACAUGCCCAUACCACGCUAACCUAUUGCUCCUCAUUUUCUCUGUCACGGGUGCUACUUUCAAACUUCCCUUAUAUACUCAUUUCUAAUCCGAUCUUUCCUCGCUACUCCACACAUCCAUCUUAGCAUUCUCAUCUCGGCUACGUGCACUCUUCUUUUGUUGCCCAACAUUCUGAUCCAUACAUUACGACAUAUAUUUUAAAUUUCAAGUCUAUAGAGCAUAUAUUUUAAAUUUCAAGUCUCUUACUUCAAAAACAUAAGACCCUCAUACAAACUUCCAACCCCGCUUUAUCCCCUUAGGGAUCGAGUUUCGUAAAAUCCGUUCUCGACGGAUGUUUACGGCCUAUAAGAAACUUAUCUGCAAAAUUUCAAGUUGCUGUUAUAGUUUCUGAGAUUUCGUGAUGAGUGAGUCAACCUACCAUCCCCCAUUUUAACCCCAAAAGGGCGUUUAUUUCUAAAGAUACAUUAUUUAGGCACCUUUUCACCAUCAAUGGAGCAUACAUUUUAAAUUUCAAGUCUCUUACUUCAAAAACAUAGGACUUUCAUACAAACUUCCAACCUCCGUUUUACCCCCUUAGGGGUCGAAUUUCGUAAAAUCCGUUCUUAGCGGUAGUUUACGCUGUAUAAGGAACCUCCCUGCUAAAUUUCAAGUUUGUAGGUGUUAUAGUUUCGGAGAUUUCGUGAAGAAUGAGUGACCUUUCGCUUUUAUAUAUAUUAUAGAU